UACGGAGGAUGCAAGCGUUAUCCGGAAUGAUUGGGCGUAAAGCGUCCGCAGGUGGCAAUGUAAGUCUGCUGUCAAAGCGUCUGGCUCAACCAGAUAAAGGCAGUGGAAACUACAUAGCUAGAGUAAGGUAGGGGUAGAGGGAAUUCCUGGUGUAGCGGUGAAAUGCGUAGAUAUCAAGAGGAACACCUGAGGUGAAGACGGGUUGCUGGGCUGACACUGACGCUGAUGCGCGAAAGCUAGGGGAGCAAACGGG
rnacentral:rRNA from 1 species